GCCCAACCCAGCCUCAAAUCCAAACUGCUGGGUAGCUCUUCCACUGAGUGAGUGCAUGCUUUGCAGAGCAUGGCUCAGGAGAUCACACUUCUAUUUGAAGGACCUGUCACAACUCAACACAAGAAUCAGUGGAAGUGCCAGAAAUGUGAUAUGAGACUUGGAGCAGGCGCUUCACAAUCACAAUUUGCAGAAGCUGCUGAACUGGCUAGAUGCACAAGGUCAGCAUGAUAUCCAUUCUAACUGUGACAAAGGUGGAAGUGCACACCGCCCAAUUUUGAUCUCAAAGUAGUUUCGUUUUUCAGGCUUAAUGCACAAUUAAGAUUGUCGUCUUAUUUUUGAGGCAUUCUGUCACCUCUGCUUCCGCUACCAGGGAAGACUUGUAUUAUUUUUAAGCAAUAAUGUUAAAUGACUUUCUUAUAUUCAGGCAAUUGUAUUAGUUAUUAGGCACCUGAUUAGCGUAAUUAAUUAUAUGAACUCAUACAAACCAUGCCUGAAGCAUUAUUCACAAAAAGUCCAUCCAUUCCAAGCCAAAUACUGUAGUUCACAGAAAAGUCUUCUAGUAUGCAAUUGCACGUGAAUAUACAUAUGAGCAGUACAUGAAUCACUGAGUAAAUAUGGCACUUUUAUGUUUUCCAGGAGGUCAUACAGAAUUAGGAAACAAUCUUCUCUGAGCUGACGCACUUCUAAAAUACUAUAAUAUAGUUUUGGAAAAUACACCUCACAGACUAGAUAGUAAGUAUAGAAAAGUCGGCAGUGCAGCUACCUGAGUUUGUUUCAUUCAGUUUAACAGUGAUCUGAUAUUUUUUCAUUCACCACAAGCCUGAGGGCUGUCUACCCAUGAAAGCCAUGCCACCUGACUCCGACACAGACACAGCCCACGGCUCUCCAAGUGCUGAACUGACCUAGCAUCUCCAAAGUGACCCAUCCGACCGCUCCUGGCACAGAUCCUGGCUGCAGCCCUGGCCCCUUGCUGCUCCUACCCCAGUGUCCAUCGAUCCUUCAGAGGGCUGAGCCUGCAGCAAAUGUGUCCCUUUUUUUUUUUUUUUUUUUUUUUUUUUAAANGUUAUUUUUUAUUAGCUUAAAUUAGCUUGUGAGCAGCAUGUGUUAUCAUGGACUAUGUCUGCCAAACUUGCCUAGAAGAAAGCAAGCGGCUAGAUAAAUAAACAACAGAACAGUUUCAGAGGACAAAGUUCCCAACUUGAAGCAUAAUCAUUAAAGAUAUUAUUGAAUAUUAAAUUAUUUUAAAAAGCAGACAGACCUCCAAGUGCAUGAUUUCUGAUUUAAUUACUAUCUGGGGAGAGGAAAACAGAGCCUUCAUCGCUGUCCUCUGGAGG
rnacentral:lncRNA from 1 species